GGGAGAUGCCCUUGAACAGGGGUAAUUCACAACUGCUGGAUUAACUUUCUAAAAUUUGGGCAAUGAUACAAGUUGGCAAGAAAGGAAGAACAUGAGAAAGGUGACAGUGUUCAGACGGUGCACGGUUUUGCAUUGGCCAAGGGAAUCUUCCUUCCCCUUCCUUUGUCUGUAGCUAAAUCUGCAGUGCAAUUGAGUUUUUGCUCUUUGUUUUAUAUCCUUGACCUUCUUUGCCUAUGGCUAAAGAUAGAGGUUGUUGGCACAGAAUGUCGGUAUAUUUAUAUCAGCUGCUUUCCCUAAACAAUUUUGCUUCCCCAGUAAUUAUUACUGGUGAAUAGCAAUGCAGCUGCAGUUAAAAGUUGUAUCAACAUUUUCCUUUAAAAGAGAAAAAGAAAUUCUGUGGAGUAUCUAUGGAGCUGUAUAAAGUAAUGAGAGACAGCAAAAUAAAUGGGCCAGCAUGUUAAUUAUGUUUGCAGCACUGCUUCCCCACAAAAAAGCUCCUGCAGUAUUUUUAAACGGGGCUUGUAAAACACAAAGGUUCCCUCUUAAGAGUCACACCUGUGUUUUAAGCCAAGCAAAUAUGUGUCUGCGCACACAUGCAGCAGUGUGGUUUGUGUGUGUGUGUGUGUGUGGCAAUACAGUUGUGAUGCUAUUGAGUGAAGAAAACAGAAUGGGCAUUGCUUGAAUUACAGAACUAAGCCACUGCACAUGACUCUUAGUGGGCUACCGCUUUCGUUGCAUGUUUUUAUAGCAAACAUCUUAUGUGUCUCAGACAUAGAAUCAUAGGAUCAUAGAACUGUAGAGUUGGAAGGGACCCUGAGGGUCAUCUAGUCCAACCCCUUUGCAAGGCAGGAAUAAUUAGCUGUCCCAUACAGGGAUCAAACCUGCAACAUGGCGGUUAUCAGUACCACGACUCACAUUGACAGAGUGGGGACAAUACUCAGUUUGGUAGCUUAAGUGCCAAUCAGGGCUGAACUGGAACUAGGGCCCUCUUGUGUAAUUCAGGGCUCAUCCACACUUCCGCUUUCCCUCUACUUUCCCCUGGGAAAACCCACUGGAAACCUGAAUUGCUGUUUGCUCCGACUGAGCACUAAAGAGCACGUUCCCCAAGGGAAAGCAGAGGGAGAAGAGGAAGUAUGGAUAAGCCCUAAGGCUACCUAGUAAAGAAAAGAUGGAGGUUUUAUUUUAAAGAAAGACUUGUCUCUUCAAAGCAGAACUCUUAGUUCCUACACCAGCUCUAAUCCUAAACACAUAGUUUGCUUUUAUUUCCUAAGGUUACAUUAUCUUGAUAUGGAAUGCUUUCAAAUAUAUUUAUGAUUUUUAAAAUAGUAUGAAAGAUAUGCAUAUUGCAAGAUAGAUAGAAAUAGAUAUGAUUUACAUAUGUAGCUUAUAGACAGUUUUCACGAGGCUCCCACCCACCACCCAUAUGGUGUGACAGGCGGGACUGGGAGCUGGUAUGUUCAAGUUGUGAAGAUGAACAUACUACAGAUGAAGACCCUUUUGUGACUGACUGCUCCUAAAAUCCUACAUCUGUCUUCACCCUAAACUAUAUAUUAUUUACACCUUCUGCAAUGCAGAGAAUUAUAAAAGCCUUAGCAUAAUCCCCCCCCAAAAAAGGAACUCUUAAAAGAGCAUUUUCUGUUAAGAUGAGGCUUGAGUUACAGUCUUGCAGAGCAUAAUGGGAUAAUCAGUACAGAGUCUGAAUUACCCAGAUGUGAGCAUUACAUUAUGAAUCCCCAGAUCUUAGCAGGGAGAGAGAGCAUUUGAAACAGAGAAUGGGAAAGUUGGCAGGGAAACAGAUAGCAAAAGAAUACACGGUCAAUGAAGUAAAGAUUAUCAUCAGGACUUCAUUUCUUACAGGAGGCUUCAAUAUGGCUCUAGUCACUCUGUAAGAACAUGGUUUAUAGGCUGCAAUAAUGCUUUGAAGCUUUCUACAAGCUAUGUAAUAUAUAUACACACCUAAAUCCCAAAGAUGCACCACUGUGUAUUUUCCACUUUCUACUUAAUCUCAGGAAAUUCUAAACCGAGGGGGGGAAAGAGAGCGCCCGCCUUUUCAUCCACUACGGCUGCAAUCUUCCAUGUAAGAAUGACACUCGGAAAACUCGCAUGCAGCAAGAUUGUGUAGCACAGCUGUGAGCUGAAAAGACGUCUGGCUUAGAAGAGCAGCCAGCAGCCUGAUAUCACAUAUGUCCUGUAAGGCGGUACCAUUUUGAGCUGCAGGUGGGGAAAUGGAUGGCUUGAAUUCUCUCCCCACUCCCACCCCCCACUAAUGCUCUUCAUAUUCCUGUACUACAACUAGUACAACUAGUUUAACAGAAGGGUGAUUGAUUGACAGUAAAGGGCUAGCACUCUGCUCAGCCCUUGAAAGUGGACUUUUGGGUAGAUCCACUCCAUGCUCUCCAUGCCACAGACGAGAUUAGAAGGGGGAGGGAUCUUGUGCAUUUGCAACAUCCCUCUCCUCCCAUCAAUGGUCACCUGCUAAGCCUGCCUCCUUUCAUUACACACUGUUGUAUCCUGAAGUAUCUUCCUUUGCUUGGGACAAUUUGUUUAACACAGGAUUGGGAAAGAAUGAAAAUUGUAGUCCAGUCACACCUGCAGGGUUACAGGUUCCCCAUCCCUUUAUCAUGAUUUAUGAUUUUGCUAUUUAUGUAUUUCUAAGUGUGGGCUAUUUAUAUUCUCUGAACUACUUUGAGCACAAAUUUGUGAAACAUGCAGAAUAUAAAUGAAUGGAUUAGUUGACAAGCCAUACAAAUAAAUACCUACCCUGCAUGUAAAACCUUAUUUGGGUUCACGUCAGGGAAAGCCCACAUCACGAAGCAUCUCAGGGCUAAACUACAUGUUACUUCAAUCACAUAGUUCCCCCUCAAGAAAUUGCCAGUGUUGCCUUCACCCACUCCUGAUCUGGAAUGGGACCCUAGUGUGGAGGACAGAUGGUUUUGGCCCAGGUCCAGGUGACCUCACUGCACCUGCUAUUUGGGUGAGGGAAAGCCCACAAUUUGGUCCAAUUGCUUCCAUCACACAAAUAAUAAACACAAAUAGUCAAAGAGAAAUCAGUGUUCCUCCAGUCCAGUGGGCACGAUGCCUUAACUUUAAUAACAGUGUCUCCGAAAAAUCUUACACAUCACUUGGGAAGACAGGCGAACAAAUAUCUGUGUACUGGAUGAAGCAAAGAUCACCAGUGUUGAAGCAAUGAUUCUUCAACAUCAACUUCGUUGGACUGGUCAUGUUGUGCGGAUGCCUGAUGAUCGUCUUCCAAAGCAACUACUCUAUUCCGAACUUAACAAUGGAAAGCGUAAUGCUGGUGGUCAACAAAAGAGUUUUAAAGACUGUCUCAAGGCAAAUCUAAAAAAAUAUAGUAUAAACACCGACAACUGGGAAACACUGGCCUGCGAGCCCUCCAGUUGGAGAACAGUCUUUACCAAAGGUGUCAUGGACUUUGAAGACACUUGAACUCAGAACGCAAGGGAGAAACAUGCCAAGAAGAAGGCACACUUGGCAAACCCUCACCAUGAUCAAUUCCCGCCCGGAAACCUAUGUCUCCACUGUGGUAGGAUGUGUGGAUCCAGAAUUGGCCUCCACAGUCACUUACAAACUCAUUGUUAAAACCGUGUUUAUGGAAGGCAAUCUUACUCGGCUACAAGUGAUCGCCAAAGAAGAAGAAGAACUUUAAUACAGAAAACAUCAUUGUUGGAUUCCAAAUUAAUCAGUCACGAAGAACUACAGCUACUCAAUUAGAUAGUCACUAUCAAAGCCAUGGAUUCGUAGAGGAACUGCAUGCUUCUGGGCCAAAUCCAGCUAAUUGGGGGCGUGGGGCAAUGCAUGAUCUCCCCACUUGCCAAAAGAAUGAAAAGGGGCUAUGGAGGGAAUAGCAGACUCAGGAGUGCUAGCUAGUCAUUUUGGAGGAUUGGAAUUAAGGCCUUGUCCUCCCCGCCGACCUUAGUUUCUUAUCAGGAGGUGAGGAUGGCCCCAUGAACAGGGCGAUUAGAGAGCAUUUAGAGUUAACUAAUCUAUUCAAUUUAAAAGACUAUGUACCCUUGUGAUAAUUCUGAUGUGAGGCUGUAGCUUAUAACCAUUGAUCAGCUGGGGUAGCUUAACCCCUGUAUUUUAAAAAAGAGAAACCUCCCCCCGUGUAUGGAUGCUUCAUACCAUGACACAUUCAAGCACAAAAUUUCACCUUUUUUAUUUUCUGUAAUCUUUUUCGCACCGUCUGGACUGAAUAUUGUCUUUUAGAGCACUGCCUUGCAAACCUCCUGCUGAUUUCUUACUUUGGCGCUAAAGCAAAAGCAAAUGUCAAGCAACCCAAGUCAUAAACUUGUAGAUGUUGCAGUAUUUAUAUACUAAUGCUUAGACGAUAGGAUUCAAUUAUCGACAUUUGGAAGAGGCAUCCUUUUUGCUGCCGCAUAAUACUACUCUCAAAAAACUGUUAGGUCCGAGAAAGCGGGGGUGGGGGGCAUUAUGGGUCUGAACUUCAUAGUAAUUAGUAGUAGCAAUUGCUAUCUUCCCACUCUCCACCUGUGAAAAGUCUCUAUAGGGUACAUGAAUUUGAUUAAUGUAAAGUUGAGAACAUUUGUUCCUUUUUUGGUAUACAAAAUCACCAUCUGUGCAAAGAAGCAAAGACCUCUGUUAACAGAUUUCAGUCUAGGAUGCCAACUUUUUUUAAUUUUAAUAGGAUUGGAGGGGGGCAAUUGCUACCCCGUACCACCCCUGGUGGAGUAUACAGGGUUCUGGGGGCGGGGCAGAGUGGGCGGGGCAUAGAAACAAUAAAUCACAUGGUAGAAAGGGUUCAACGGCCAUUCAUUUAGCACCCCCAACAAGUGACCAUCUGUAGCUGGUGGGCUCCAUUCAGCAUUCUGGGUGACAGGUGGUCCCAGCCUGGUUUCUAUCUUGUCAUAUGAACAAUUACCCGCUUCCCUUUUCUAAUAUGGUGCAAGUACUCAGAGCUCUGUCACAUUUCAUUCCAUCGGGAUAAUUGCAUUUGCCAAGCUUUUUACUACACUUCUCCAUUCUAUUUCCCAAAGUGUGCGUCUGGGAAAUCAAGCGGAAACAGAAAUGUUAUUAUUGGUAAACCAUUAUAAUACUGACACCAUGUAAAAAGAAGCUGCUCUGAAUAGCAGGGUGAUGUCGCUGGAAGUCGAAGGGGUGGGGAACUGAGACGCUGCCUGAUGCACCAGCCUGACAGAAAAUGAAACUGUUUUAAACCACGGCCCUGAUUCUACCAAGUUCACUCAGAGUCCCACACGAAGUGAACCAGAGGGUGUUACUAUUCAAAAGAUAAAAACCCAUCAAGUUUGAGAGAGGAGGUGGAACGUUCCUCUUAGACAUGGGUAGGCAAACUAAGGCCCAGGGGCCAGAUCCAGCCCAAUCGCCUUUUAAAUCCGGCCCCUGGACGGUCCGGGAAUCAGCGUGUUUUUACAUGAGUAGAAUGUGUCUUUUUAUUUAAAAUGCAUCUCUGGGUUAUUUGUGGGGCAUAGGAAUUUGUUCAUUUUUUCCCCUUCAAAUAUAGUCCGGCCCCCCACAAGGUCUGAGGGACUGUGGGCCCCCUGCUGAAAAAGUUUGCUGACCCCUGCAUCUUAGAUUAGGCUCCUGGCUUUGUGUGUGUGUGUGUGUGUGUGUGUGUGUGUGUGUGUGUGUGUAUUGGGGGACGGCAGUGGACAUUCAACACUUUGAAUUGUGCUCAGAAAUGUACUGUGAGCCAAUGUAGGUCUUAUGUGGUUUCGGCGGCCGCUCCCCGUCACCAGUCUAGCUGCCACAUUCUGGAUUAGUUGUAGUUUCCAAGUCACCUUCAAAGGUAGCCCCACGUAGAGCGCAUUGCAGUAGUCCAAGCAGGAGAUAACUAGAGCAUGCACCACUCAGGUGAGACAGUCCAUGGGCAGGUAGGGUCUCAGCCUACGUACCAGAUGGAGCUGGUAGACAGCUGCCCUGGACACAGAAUUGACCUGGGCCUCCAUGGACAGCUGUGAGUCCAAAAUGACUCCCAGGCUGCACACCUGGUCCGUCAGGGGCACAGUUACCCCAUUCAGGACCAGGGAGUCCCCCACACUCACCCGCCCCCUGUCUCCCAAAAACAGUACUUCUGUCUUGCCAGGAUUCAACCUCAAUCUGUUACAACCUGCUGUUAGUCUGCAAAUUUCUAGGUGACCCCUGUAAUCAUGGCAGAUUUCUUAUUGUCCUCUUUUAUUAUUUGAUUUGAACACCAAUUCAGGAAAAUGACUUUUAUUUUUAGUUUAGCUGGAGGCAGUGUAUGCUAAUUGUAGGAGCAAUCAACUGGGAGAUGAAUACCUAUUUAAUUUUUGCUAGUGUGUUACUCUGGAACCUAGUUUAAGGGGGCAAUACUAUGGCAAGAUCUGCUGGCAUGAGCAGCUUAGGGCACAACAAAUCUCCAGCUCAGGUGACCCAUUCCAAGCUCAGCCAGCGUUAAGUCCACAACCCCAGCUCAGCCUAAGGCGUAACUUGCUCAGCCAAAACGGCAGCUCACAGUAAGCCCCCCAAAAGUGGUGUUCCAGGGUAAUUGGGGGUGGGGGAAGUUUGGCUAGAUUCAAACGUGUUUAGUUCAAUCACGUGAUCUGGCAACCACAUAAAACACUAUUUUAAAAGCUUGCUUUCCUUCUACCAGGUUUAAGGAGAAAAGUACGAGGAGCCCCACAGCAAAACCUUGUAACCUGGUGUUCUGGUAUUAAGUUAAACCCCAUAUUUAAGCUAGUGUUGUGCCUAUGUUCUGCCAAGCGAUCACAUCAAGGUGAAAUGUUGGGGUUGUGUCACACAAAUCAUCAGAGCCGUCUUUCCCAUUGGGCUUAGUGGUUCAUUGCGCCAGGGCGCCGGCCUCUCUGGGGCGCCCCUGAGAGUGGGGGAGCUGCGUGGCUUUGCCGGUGGCCUCCCCUUUCCUUGCACGCCCGCCAGCUGUGCCCCACCAACCAUAUGGCUGGGGGACAUGCAGCUUGCCUCCCCAGUCCCUGGGGGUUUCGCUCUCCUCCCGCGGAGGCUUGGGAAGGAAGCUGCACGCCUGCCAGCCAUAUAGUUGGGAGGGUACAGCUUCCUUCCCAAGCCUCCGUGGGAGGAGAGUGAUCCCCACAGAGGCUUGGGGAAAGGUCAACAACUCUGGGAAACGGGGGGUGGGGCGCCGGAGGGAUCUUUGCACCACGGCGCCGGAUAUGCUUAAGACGGCCCUGCAAAACAUCACCCUGACUGUGUCAUGACUUCACUUCUUUUGUAACUUUCACAGACUUUGCAGCUCACAGAAAAUCUUAUUGCAGUGCAUUAAGGGAAUUUUCCCCACAUUGCCUGAAGAGCAACACAAGUGCCCUUCUCUUCCUCAAAACCAGACAGCCAAGCACCAGAGAUUAGGAGAGAGUUGUCCAGAUGACCAGGUCGCUCAUUGGAUGAGCAAGGAGGAAUCGGUAGCUCCCUUCCUUGGAUGAUGCGUGUCAAGCAUUUGAUGAGCAGGAAGCAGCAAUACAGGGAUCAGCUCAGCAAGGGGAAGCUGCGUGUUUCUCUGUGUGUGAGGAUGCAUGUGCACCCUUAUUGUGCAUGUGUCACACCCAUACUGACCCCAGAGGGUCAGCCAAGGGUGAAUGCCACCCUCAUAUGAAAAAGGUUAGCCAUUCCUGGCUUAAAUAUUAAUACAACAAACUUGUUUCCUUUUUUUAAAAAAAUACAAAGCUAAGGCCGUCUUAGUGUACUAAAGCUAAAUUCUCCAAGCUGAGGGACUUAGCCUGGUGCCUGGAAGCCAGUGGGAUAUUGGUCCUCUUGCGAAAACACCAUGCAGUCCUUUUGCUGUGCGGUUGUGGAAUCACUUAGGGUGUCCCUGAAGACAGCAGCAAACAUUUCCUUAUCUCAUUUCUCAGCUCAGUUCUGCAAUUUGAACCAUUAUGCUUCCCAUUUUGAAGAAGAACCAAUGUAUGCAUAUCACUCAAGGGCAACAGUCUUCAUUACUUUCCCCUUGAUGACUGAAAGUGUUAACCAGCUCUACUGAAAAGCACUGUGUGUGCCCCAAGAUGAUGUGGACAUCCUAUCUGGGCUUGAUGGCCUAGUAAAAAAAUGCGAGCCGACUCUUGAAGUUGCAGUUUUCAAAUCAUGAACAUGGAUGUGUAAAUCAGACCAUAUGCUAUGAGAAACAUUCCUAGCAGAGGUAAUGAUUAAGCUGAGGACUGAGAUUAAAGGUACAUCUAUCUCAAAGGUGAAUCCGCUGGGAUAAUUGAAAUUUCGGCACAAUUUAAAUAUGGAUGCUGAGCACAUUAUCCAUGUGAAUUACCAUGUACCAGCCAUUUAAUUUAAAUUGGAUCUUCUUGCUUGUGUGUGCCAUAUUAGGAUGCCAGUAUAGUUCCUGCCCAGGCCAGAGCCCUGGCAUGCUAACAAGCCAUAUGCAAGGUAGGCCAUCUGGAUGAGUGCAGAAGGUCUUAUCUAUCACCUUUUUUUUAUUACUGGAGUUCAGGCAUGAAUGCCAAUGCUUUUGUUAGGCAGACUGACACCCCCCAUGCACAAAAAGGAAGGUACCAACAGACUCAGGAGCUGUGAGCAUACUCAGUGGCCAUGAAAUAGUCACAGUCUGCUAGCAGGUGUGGAGGAAGGAGUAAUGGAAAACUAUGUGGGAGGAGGACUGAAAUGGAGUAUGCUGGCAGAGGGCAUGGCUGACUCUCCAAAAUGAGCAGUGAACUGGAGCAUUCCACAGGCAACAGGCUGUUGCAGAUCUCAUUUGUUGGUCUGUACCAGGAGUAGGAAAUGUGGUGCUCCACCAAAUGUUGUUAGACUACAACUCCCAUCAUUUGUCACCACUGGCCAUUAUGGCUGGUGCUAAUGGGUGCCACAUUGCACCCAUCUGGUCUAUACUGUGAAUGCCCAUUGCUUUGCAUUAUGUGGCAGUAUGAGCCCUGCCCUUGGAUGAAUCGGGCCAAAAGUCCAUGAAAUCCAGCAUGGUGUCAGCCAAUGCCUCUGGGGAGCUCAGAAGCAGGACUUACAAGGCAACCCAAACUUCUGCCGGUUUGUCCUCCCAUCUAGUAUUCUGAUCUGCCUUUGAAUGUGUAGGUUCCACUUAGCCAUCACAGCUAAUAGCUGUUCACAGAGCUCGGCGUAUGUAUGCAUUAUGGAUUUUUCUUUUCUGCACCCCAAAGAUUACUGCAACUUUUCAAAGAAGUGAAAUAAAGAAUGACAACCUUGAUUAUCUAGCAAAAACAUAAUUGUAUUAUAUUAUGUGAGAAGUGUUUGGAGAUGGUGUACAAGAUAAACAAUAAGACUGAAGGGUAAUUACCACAUUAUUAUUCUGGCAGAUGUGUGCAUGCCCAACCCUGGCAAGGUUUGGUCCCAAAGGAAUAUUUCAAAUUCUCUGGGAGCUGAAUUUAUGGCAGCCUGAUUGAUUGCUUAUCCUGUUGAAAUUAUAGCAGGAUGCUUUCUUUCUUUCUUUAGCUAUGAUCUGUCCAUUGAACGGCGCUGUUCAUUACCAGGGUGACAUGCCGAUUCCACAUUCCUUUGCGUUUUUGCAAAAUGUCACAACAAUAUUUAACAACUGUGGCAGAGUGAGGAAUGAGAGAAAGCUGGGCAGUUCAGAAGAACCGAGGCACUGAAUGUGGAUGGUAGGCAGGGAACAGGGGGGAAAGGAGUUUCUCAAGCUUCUGGUUCAGGAAGCACCCAGUUUGGCCAAAUGGAUAUCGGUGGCACACUUCACUCUUGCAGUUGAGGAGCUGGCUGAUCAGAUAUGUACCUUGUGGUUGGAAAGAGACAAGCUGAAAGCAGCAGCUGCUGCUGUACAGACCACACAAAUUCCAGGUAUAUACACACCACUGCUUCAGCCAAUCACAGUUCCCUAAUACUUGAGCAAUACUUGUGUCUUCAGAUACCUGUUCAUUGUAUUCCCAUCUUGCAUGUUUAGACUUACAAAAUCUUAGAUGUACUCUGAAAUAAUUGUGUGAACUAGCCAUUUACAUGGUCAUUCAUCUACAUUUAUUAGUGGCUGACUGAUGCCUUUCUGUUGUUUUCCUCACUUCUCCCUGUUAGGUCCCCCUCUAUAUACUGCUCAUCAUUUCUUUUUGAUGCAUCUGCAGAGGGCAGUUCUGCCAGCAGGACUCCUAGCCAGCACCCAAAAAAGGAAGGUUCAGUGUCCUUGUUUUACCUGCAGGCACUUUCCUUCAAGUGACAGCCAAAAGACAGAGCCUUGGGGGUGUCAUCUGUUGUUUGGCUAUCAGUUACUGGCUGCAGCAGAAGGGAUGGUAGGAGGUUAGAAGGCCAGACUUUUGUAGAAUCCCCAAAUCG